rnacentral:misc_RNA from 1 species
GUGAAUCAUCAAAUUUUUGAACGCAAAUUGCACUCUUUCCGGAGAGUAUGCCUGUUUGAGGGUCAGCCUAAAUAAAAAUCGACAUGGUUGCUGUUUCUCGGUGACAUUUGUCGGAAAUUGGGUCAUCUUAAACCUUUGGGCUUUAAGCGGCUUAAAAUUUUCUUUACGAUUCCACGAACGUAUCUAAGUUUUACUUCUUAUCCGUUUACGGAAUCGAUCUUUAUUAGACGUGGCCGUUGCAUCGGAUC